rnacentral:rRNA from 1 species
UACAGAGGUCCUUAGCGUUGUUCGGAUUCACUGGGCGUAAAGGGUGUGUAGGAGGCUGGGUAAGUCAAAUGUGAAAUCUCUCCGCCCAACGGAGAAACUGCAUCUGAAACUGCUCGGCUCGAGGGUCAAAAGGGGAAGCGGAAUUCUCGGUGUAGCGGUGAAAUGCGUAGAUAUCGAGAGGAACACCAAUGGCGAAAGCAGCUUCCUAGGAGACUCCUGACUCUGAAACACGAAAGCUAGGGGAGCAAACGGG